AUUGAACGCUGGCGGCAGGCCUAACACAUGCAAGUCGAGCGCGCGGCGGACGGGUUAGUAAUGUAUGGGGAUCUGCCCGAUAGAGGGGGAUAACUACUGGAAACGGUGGCUAAUACCGCAUACUAUCGGAUGAACCCAUAUGGGAUUAGCUAGUAGGUGGGGUAAAGGAGCACCUAGGCGACGAUCUCUAGCUGGUCUGAGAGGAUGAUCAGACACACUGGGACUGAGACAUGGCCCAGACUCCUACGGGAGGCAGCAGGGGGGAAUAGUGCAAAAUGGGCGCAAGCCUGAUGCAGCAAUGCAGCGUGGAUGAAGAAGGACUUAGGGUGGUAAAGUACGUGCAGAGGGGAGGCGUUACCCGCAGAAGAAGCACCGGCUAACUCCGGGCCAGCAGCCGCGGUAAUAC
rnacentral:rRNA from 1 species